GGGGGGGGGGGGGGGGGGGGGGAGGGGGGGGAAGGCGGGGGGGGGGGGGGGGGGUGGGGGCGUGCGGGUGCGUAGGGCGUGGGAACCUGCGCUUAGGUUCGGGAUAAGUCCCCGGAAGGGGUGGUAAGAGCGGGUAAUGUCGUCGGAACAAAGAGUGCUCGCCUUUGGAUGGGCCCGCGUGGGAGUAGCUAGUUGGUAGGGUAAAAGCCUACCAAGGAGACGAUCCAUAGCUGGUCUGAGAGGAGGAUCAGCCACACUGGGACUGAGACACGGCCCAGACUCCUACGGGAGGCAGCAGUGGGGAAUAUUGGACAAGGGGCGAAAGCAUGAUCCAGCAAUGCCGCGGGAGUGAUGAAGGCCUUAGGGUUAUAAAGCUCUUUUACCCGGGAUGAUAAUGACAGUACCGGGAGAAUAAGCUCCGGCUAACUCCGUG
rnacentral:rRNA from 1 species